UCCCUCAUAGUUCAGUUGGUUAGAACGUCUGCCUAGUAAGCAGGAGGUCACCUGUUCGAAUCAGGUUGAGGGCA